rnacentral:rRNA from 1 species
AAAUUUCCCAUGGCAAACUGCUCAUUAACACAUGAUCAACUCACCCUAUAGAGAAAAAUAACCUCGGGAAACUGAGGAUAAUAUUUCGUAGUUGAAUAGGCUUGGAAAAGUUUUUCAAUAAAAGGGAUAAAAAAAAUGGUUUUUAUCUGCUAUAGGAUAGGAUCGUGGACGAUUAUGGUUGUUGGUGAGGUAACGGCUCACCAAGCCGAUAAUCGAUAGGGGCCGUGAGAGCGGGAGCCCCGAGAUGGGUACUGAGACAACGACCCAGGCCUUACGAGGCGCAGCAGGCGCGGAACCUCCGCAAUACACGAAAGUGUGACGGGGUUACCCAAAGUGUUCAAUUCUGAACUGUGGUAGGUGAGUAAUGUUCCCUACUAGAAAGGAGAGGGCAAGGCUGGUGCCAGCCGCCGCGGUAAAACCAGCUCUUCAAGUGGUCGGGAUAAUUAUUGGGCUUAAAGUGUCCGUAGCCGGUUUGGUAAGUUCCUGGUAAAAUCGGGUAGCUUAACUAUCCGUAUGCUAGGAAUACUGCUAUACUAGAGGGCGGGAGAGGUCUGAGGUACUACAGGGGUAGGGGUGAAAUCUUAUAAUCCUUGUAGGACCACCAGUGGCGAAGGCGUCAGACUGGAACGCGCCUGACGGUGAGGGACGAAAGCCAGGGGAGCGAACCGGAUUAGAUACCCGGGUAGUCCUGGCCGUAAACGAUGCAUACUAGGUGAUGGUACGGCCAUGAGCCGUAUCAGUGCCGUAGGGAAACCGUUAAGUGUGCCGCCUGGGAAGUACGGUCGCAAGGCUAAAACUUAA